rnacentral:rRNA from 1 species
GUUUAAAAAGUAUGGGUUCUGCUAUCACUCUUGGGAUGGGACCUGCGGUGCAUUAGCUAGUUGGUAGGGGUAACGGGCCUACCAAGGCGAUGAUGCAUAGCCCGAGUUGAGAGACUGAUCGGGCCACAUUGGGGACUGAGACACGGGUCCAAAACUCCUACGGGGAGGCAGCAGUAGGGAAUCUUCCACAAUGGACGCAAGUCUGAUGGAGCAACGCCGCGUGAGUGAAGAAGGGUUUCGGCUCGUAAAGCUCUGUUGUUGGUGAAGAAGGACAGGGGUAGUAACUGACCUUUGUUUGACGGUAAUCAAUUAGAAAGUCACGGCUAACUACGUGCCAGCAGCCGCGGUAAU